CAGCCGCCACGGGAAUACAGAGGGUGCAAGCGUUAAUCGGAAUUACUGGGCGUAAAGCGCGCGUAGGUGGUUUGUUAAGUUGGAUGUGAAAUCCCCGGGCUCAACCUGGGAACUGCAUCCAAAACUGGCAAGCUAGAGUAUGGUAGAGGGUGGUGGAAUUUCCUGUGUAGCGGUGAAAUGCGUAGAUAUAGGAAGGAACACCAGUGGCGAAGGCGACCACCUGGACUGAUACUGACACUGAGGUGCGAAAGCGUGGGGAGCAAACAGGAUUAGAUACCCGAGUAGUCCCUGUCUCUUAUAC
rnacentral:rRNA from 1 species